UUCAGAACUGAUAAAGCACGCAACUGCUUGAAAACUCUUUCCUUCAACUCAACAAUUAGCUAAGAUGAGGACUACCCAAAUGUUGCUCCUGGCCAUCGCCAUCCUCGUGCUAGCAUCAGAUGCGCUAAUGGAGGCAUCAGCGGACAUUAGUAUUGAUCCCGUCACAUGUACAUCAAAAAUCAUGCCAUCGCCAACGCCCUGUGAAAACCAAAGUUGCAACAAGACAUGUGUUGAAGGUCUAGGGUACCUCGCAGCUGGAUGGUGUGUUACCCAGGGGUGCAUGUGUAUGUAUUGCCCACUGCCUCCACGGCAGUUAGCAAAUGGGCACUAAUUAUCUAGACUAAGAUGUCGUGUUCAAUUGAAUAGCGCAAACGAUCAUAAUUGGUGUAGCAGCGAGGUUGUUCACUGAUAAGUCAUAAGAAGAAUGAUGAAUUUGGUCUUGCUUCUUGAAUUAUCUGAGGUUA